UUUUUGUUAGUGUGCUGAAUAGAAUAGAUUCCUUGUGCCCACAUGUUUUAUUCCUUGUUGAUUUCAUGGUUGAGCAUAGGGGUAGGUCUAAAACCGCCUAAAAUUGUCAUUUCUCUGCGUUUCUGAAGUUUGAAAAUAGGAGGUAGGACGAAAAAUGCAACAAAAAUGAUAAUUGAAGGACCAUUUUGUUAUGUUUUAAAAGAGCAGGACCAGUUUCGUGAGUAGGCCAAAACACGAG
rnacentral:lncRNA from 1 species